UACGGAGGAUCCGAGCGUUAUCCGGAUUUACUGGGUGUAAAGGGAGCGCAGGCGGGACUUCAAGUUGGAUGUGAAAUACCGGGGCUCAACCCCGGAGCUGCAUCCAAAACUGUAGUUCUUGAGUGGAGUAGAGGCAAGCGGAAUUCCGAGUGUAGCGGUGAAAUGCGUAGAUAUUCGGAGGAACACCAGUGGCGAAGGCGGCUUGCUGGGCUCUAACUGACGCUGAGGCUCGAAAGUGUGGGGAGCAAACAGG
rnacentral:rRNA from 1 species